rnacentral:sRNA from 2 species
UGUAUCUGAAGCCUGACGAGGAUGAGAACCUCCGGGGGCAAGAGGUUCGACCCGAGCGAAGCGAGAGAACGUUGCGUCAGCAACGGCCCGCAGGGCGAGCCAUCCUCUACCACCGGCAG